rnacentral:tRNA from 2 species
GGGGAUGUAGCUCAGCGGUAGAGCGCAUGCUUUGCAUGUAUGAGGUCCCGGGUUCGAUCCCCGGCGUCUCCA